rnacentral:sRNA from 1 species
CUCGAGCGAAGCGAGAGAACGUUGCCGCAGGCAACGGCCCGAAGGGCGAGGCGCUUUAGCGCCGAGUAAUCCUUCCCACACCACCA